AGGUUCCUGAGGUGUACGUCGGCUCUAAUAAUCCAACACCGACACUAUAGAAGAGGGAAUCCGGGUCCAAUAGUGUAUGAUAUGCCUUAUAGAGUAAGGACAUCAAAAGCUAUUGGCAGGGUACCCACUUGCGUGAGGACUGGGUGUGGAUUAAAGAGCAGGCGGCAUCAUGGGAUUUCC
rnacentral:other from 1 species